AAGGCCUUAAGUUAAAUAAACUAAUAGCCUUCAAAGUUAUAAAUAAAGAUCAAUUUCUUUAGGCCUUA
rnacentral:tRNA from 1 species